GAAAUGCGAUAAGUAAUGUGAAUUGCAGAAUUCAGUGAAUCAUCGAAUCUUUGAACGCACAUUGCGCCCGCCAGUAUUCUGGCGGGCAUGCCUGUUCGAGCGUCAUUACAACCCUCAGGCCGCCGGGCCUGGCGUUGGGGAUCGGCGGAAGCCCCCUGCGGGCACAACGCCGUCCCCCAAAUACAGUGGCGGUCCCGCCGCAGCUUCCAUUGCGUAGUAGCUAACACCUCGCAACUGGAGAGCGGCGCGGCCACGCCGUAAAACACCCAACUUCUGAAUGUUGACCUCGAAUCAGGUAGGAAUACCCGCUGAACUUAAGC
rnacentral:misc_RNA from 1 species